GGGGGAGUAGCUCAGGGGUAAGAGCGCAGCGAACUUGCAUUUACAACCUAAAUGUCUCCAAUGCCGGUUCCUAAGGUCAUGGGUUCGAAUCCCAUCUCUCCUA